UACAGAGGGUGCUAGCGUUGUUCGGAGUCAUUGGGCGUAAAGGGCUCGUAGGCGGCCAACUAAGUCAGACGUGAAAUCCCUCGGCUUAACCGGGGAACUGCGUCUGAUACUGGAUGGCUUGAGUUUGGGAGAGGGAUGCGGAAUUCCAGGUGUAGCGGUGAAAUGCGUAGAUAUCUGGAGGAACACCGGUGGCGAAGGCGGCAUCCUGGACCAACACUGACGCUGAGGAGCGAAAGCCAGGGGAGCAAACGGG
rnacentral:rRNA from 1 species